UGCCAGCAGAAGGUGUAGGAACAAGAUUUUCUAACGAACCGGAAUAAUUAUAUGGUUGAUUUAUGGAGUUAGCAGAGGAAGUAAAUGAGGGAGAAAUAUCACUCAACUGCUUGAAAUGUUCUAAACUUGAAAUGGGUGCAGUAGCCUGAACUCGUUUAGACAUCUCUGAAAGAAUCUGAAGUCGCGAAUUCAUACCACCCCCCAUAACAUUAGCUUUUUCGGUAGCU